UCCUCUCCGGGAGUUGAAGUUCUUGGGCAGGCGCUCUCCCUAUAGAAACCCAUGGAAGCUCCACACUUAGUCAUCUUAGCUCCACGGACCCCACCAGAUCCUAUGCUUGUCCCUCAUUGGUUCAAAUUGAGUCACAUGUUCACCUCUGAACCAACCAUUGUGGCUAGAGAAAUGUGAUUAUCUGAUUGGUCAGGGCAAAAAAAACGCCGGCUGUGGCUGUUAGCUGGAGAGAAAGGCAGUUAACGUUUGAGAGCCUGAAGGAGCAGCCGAGGCCAGGCCUUAGAGAAAAAGCUAAGCCCCAGGAGGGUGUGUAACAGGAGAGAAAAGGAUGGCAGGGCCCGGGCAGAGUGGGAGAGGCUUCCAGGAUCACCGUGGUUCAUGGAAGGAGAUAGGCGCGCAUCCAAUGCCGAAGAAUUAACCAGAUGUAAGAAUUCUCUGGAUUAGCAUGCUGCAGAAUUCAAGAGCCCUUUUUAAAUUCAACUCCUGUUGCUUGCACACUGACAAAUUGCCAAUCUGCAUGCAGCAGGCACUGGCUAGUCUCUCACAGAUCGACCCCGACUUCACUGAAGCAACAGACUGCUGAAGGGACACUCUGUAUCCUUAGGGCCAACGUGCUCUGCCUGGCAUGUGUGUGUUGGCUGUCGCCCUCUAUCUUUAUUUACAGAGACAUAAGCAUUGCUUUCAAUAAGAUCAUAAUUGCAACAGGAGCCUACCUAAUGGAACUGGAAUUGGCACACCCCGGAUCUGCGGCACACCUUGUAGACUGUUAAAGGUUUCUGACUGGCUGGGACUCUUCCCCAUUGCUUGAAUUUCCCCCUUCUGAUGGAGCAGAAUAGAAUGAGGAGACAAGGACAACCAAUAUUAGUAGCUGGCGAGCAGGCACCUGAAGGAUUGUCAGCAUUGACCCUUGGCUUCAACCGUCUCAGUGGGGAAGUCAUAAAGGAGUCGUCCUUCAGGGCUUGUCAGGACAUACCAGGAGCGUCUAAUAACCUGAAAACCCCUGCCUCUGGUAACUUAAGGCAGCCACAGCCCCCACUCCUAAACGUUCCAAAUCCUCCCUACGUCAGCUAGAGACCAAGCACUCAAACACAUGAGCUGGUGGGGAUGUUUCAGACUUGGACCACAAGCAUUUCUUGCCACUGAUUUGUGAACAUACAGAUGAUUAUGGUCCUCAAUUUCUCCUAUUAAAAGAGACAGUAGAAGAACAAGAGAAAGGAAAGCUGAUAACCACUUUGAAAAUAAUUGGUGAAUCUGUUUCCCACAGAGCUCAGGACAGACAGCACUGAGGCGUGAGUCACCCACCGUCAGCCCAGAGCUGGGUCUUCUGAUGGGCAUCCUCUGCGAAACAAAGACACACACUGUUCACUUCUGCUGGGGAGGCACAAGUCCAGGCCUGUGCUCCCAGACUUGGAAACUCCACUCGUCCGACUGCAGCUCCUCAUGACCCCCCCCCCCCCAGGCUGUGAGAGGCUUGACUUUGCUGUGAUCACUUUUUCCUUUCUGGCUCAGGCCUGCGUUUCCUAAUCCUUUACUUCCACUGUCACUGUUUUCUUAUGGGAAAAAAAAAAGGCACUGGGGCAUAGUCACCAGGUGUGUGCCCAUCUUCUUCACCUGCCUAGCUGCCACCAGCUUCCUCAGUCCGCGUCUCUGCCCUGGGCUGCUCCUAGUGUAAGCAGGAACCUCCCAGAACUGAAGGAGCAUCAGUUCCAUCAUGCUUUGCUUGUUCAAGGUCAGGUUCAGAAGUCACUAUGUAGUUUCUGAGUGCAUGAAAUGCCUCAGUCUGAGCUGAGGAGAAGACGGAAAUCUGAGCAACAUCCAUGCGUGGAUUCAGGAAGCCCUGGCUCGGUGCGGGGUAUGUCUACAGACAGUGCAAGAGCCAUGGGCCCGAAAGGGACAAAUUGUGUCCCUGUGGGAAAGGUUGCGCACACAUGUCCCGUAGACGCUGGUCUUUCCAGCUCCCCACCCCCAGUGGCUUGAGCAGUGAGGUGAGUGCAUGGGAGACCAUCCCAUCUGCCUCAAGCCCAGCAGCCCUGUUUCUUCUAGGUCUUUCUGAAGUGGGUUCCUCGCACACAGGAACCGCCGAAGGAGCCCUUGCCUUCACUCACUGAAAAGAAUUGCUAUUACGGGUUCUGUUCCUCCUUAAGCCAGUCACCCUCACGCUGAUGAGGCCUUGAAUUAAUUGGCAAAUGAGGAUUGGCACACAGUGGUGAAGCAGUCGCUCUGUGCUAACAAUUUAUCCAGAUGGUUGCUAGCUACGGACCCUUUCCUCUUGUGUUAUGGUACUUCCUCUUGAGGCCACAGACAAAAUUAAGGCCCCAGGAAAUUCAUUCCCUCUCCACAUGGGCCCUCAAGCCCUGUUAUGCAUUGAGCUAGGUGUCAGGAAACUUGGUGAUGGUCUCACAACUAGGAAGGGCAAAGCUGGGAUUAGGAGCAGGGUUACCACCCUGACCACCUGACCAGCUGACCACCCAUCUCCCUGCACCCCAGGGUCCUGGCAUACCUUGCUGGGUGCUGCUGUGAGGUAUUCUGAGCAGGGGAACAUGACUACCCUGCCCAGCAGAGGAGCUGGGAGAACCCCUCACACUGGCAAGCGUUAAAUUAGAGCUGUGAUCAACACAGCUAUGCUGAGAUCCACGUGGUCUGAGACUAGGAACCAGGGCAUCUGAAUUGUAGGGAUACCAACAGGGCAGAGAUGAGUAGAUGGGAGCAGAGCGCCGCAGGCAUGCGCAAAGCCCCUGUGGCAUGAGUAGCGCCCGUUGUAUGCCUGGAGUAGAGAAAAGAGGCAAAUUGGAAGCGGGCCAUGCGGGACCCAGGAGCACACUUGGGGGCUCUUGCUGAGAGAACCCUGGGAAAACAAAGAAAACCAAGGACAUUUGGGUCUGGGAAUCUGCAGAGGAAUUAAUCAAGGCUCAGCUGGUUUGUGAGGUGAGGCAGAAGCAGCCCAAGGUGGCUAAAGGAUGGAACUGUUCCAUUGUUUUGGGACCUCCAAAAGGUGGGAAACUGGGCAGACCUGGCCAGCUAUGAAUGCAGCAUAGAGGAAUGGAAGCAGAGGAAGAGGGACAGGAGCCGGGUGGUGUGGCGACCACUGCAGGAUGGAAGGAAGGGCAGGUGAAGCAAAGAGGCCAUGGGCAGACCAUUGGGGUGGUGUUCUAGAAAUGCAGGUGCAGCUGCGCAUGCCUACCAGUGGGAUCCCACUGUGGUCUUAAUUUGUAAUCCCUGAUGAAUAGCAGGGCUAGGUGCCUUUCAUACCCCGUCAGUUACUCCCAUGGCUUCUAUGAAUGCCCUAUUCAAACUUCCGGUCCACUUUGGGGCUUGUACCAUGAUUGUCCCUUUUUGAAUUGUUGAUGCACAGAAGUUUUUAUGCUAAGAGGGAAGGGAAGGACACAUAAUUACAGUCCUAGCUAGGAGGGCUAGCAUCAGCAAGAUAUCUGUCAAUGAUAGCAUAUUGUUCUCACUAACAAUGGAAAGAGAUGCUAUUUGCUCCAUGAUGGGUCAUUUUCAUUGUGAACUUGACCUCCCAUUCUCUGGUAAAUGAAAUUCCAAAGCAUAGUCCUAGCUUCCACAAAAGAGCAAGACUGUGUUCUACUUGCCUUCAGUGUCUGGUCUACUAUAUUUAAUAUAUUGUCCUCUGAAGUCUAUCUUUGCUGUCACAAAUGACAAGAUUUCGUUUUUUUCACUGCUUAGUAAUGUUCCAUUCUAUGUAUGUAACAAAUUCAUCUAAGUUUUUUUUUAAACUUGAACUAUUUGAAUUUGUUAAUGCCCUUGGUUCUGUGCUCUUUUCAUGUCCAAAUAAACCUUGACUUCCCCCAA